rnacentral:lncRNA from 1 species
CCAUCCUAGAAUUCGCGUCUAUGUUCUACAGCUAUAGGUCAGUUUGACUACCGUAAAUCUGUGUGCUAACAUCGUCACUACACAGCUGCAACAAUAGUACAAUGAACAAUAAGUUUUUUGAGAAAGCUGUAAAAAUCUCAGGCCUCCUCAUUGCAUGGAGGCCACAGACUUCGGACCAGUGUUACUUAAGUGAUCAGUUUCGGUUUAGCUUUGGGUCAAAACCAGAUCAAACAAAUGAUUGAAAACUGCAAAGUAGUCUUGCAUCCUAAUCUGUGAAGGAUACGAUACAUAUUGCAGAUCUGCUGUGGCCUCGUUUUCUGGAACAGAAGCAGCAAGUCAAACUAUGGUUUGCAUGAAUACAUAGAGGAGUAAAUGAAAAGGAAAUGAUAUUGAACUGAUAAUUUAGCAUACGAUUUUAAGUCAUUUUGAUGUGCUGUUGUGCCCAUACCAUUGAGCUUCAGGUGACAACAUUUUAAGUUUUCACUCCUGCCUCUGAUCUAACGUUCGAACAUUACAUUUUUGCUUAGAAAUUCUUAGCGCAGGCUCCAUUUAUGUUUACAGAAUGUUACUCUCUACGUAUUACAGUUUAACAGUAACACACGGAUGUAUGGCAUCAAUAAGCACCCAUGAUUUUCAGAGUAUAAUUGUAGUGCAUGUAGAUGAGGAAGAAUGUAGAUCAAAUUUCACAAAACCUAAAUGUGGGAUUUAUCUAAAGGUAAUGCAAAGCAACAAAGGCCCAUGUGAGUUCCUCAAUAUGAAAGUGCGACUUAAUAAAUUACUGUAUUUACUCGAUUCUAAUCUACCCUUGAUUGUAAUGUGCAUCUGAUUUGCACAGGGAGAAAUAGCAAUUUGUUCUCGCUAAAGGAAGGGAAGACAUUGUUUUGGUUUUGGAAUUGAUUCCAAUAUGUAUGUUAUAUUGUACUGAAUUUUUCCAAAAGAAAAUAAGUGCACAUUAGAACAGAGCAAGCACAGUGCGGGACCACCUUUCCCAGGGUGUCAUUCUACCAAAUGGGCUAAUCGGGAGGCUGUCAUAGAUGGAUUGUUGGAUGAGGGUAAGUUAAUUGACAUCUCAAAUCAGUAAAACAAUAACGUAAUGAAAGACUUUGGACUGACCGCAGGUAAUUCACGUGAGGGAAGCUCGUUCUCCGCGUCCUCUAUCUGCAGUUCAACGUGCUCGAGUUCCUGCAGAAAAAAAAUAACUGUUACGCUAAUUGGUCCGGCAUAACUGUUGAGGGAAAUUAGUACUAACAAAAAAGAUGCACACACUGCUCUUCCUGUGUGUGCAUAAUUUCUUUAGUGCCAAUUCUGCUCAACAGUAAUGCAGUGAAAAUUAAAGGGCAACAAAAAAGCAGGUGCCUGAAUGGUACUGUAGCUAGAGCUUGCUGCCUCGUCCUUGACUCUUCCUUGGCUUCAUGCUCGUACAUGCAGGUUAUCUUCUACAUAGGAUAAAGCUUGCAUUCAUCAGCUUCAUGUCAGUCACAAGUAUAUUAGAAUGUAAUUGAAAACAUUUAUUUCACUCUUUACAGGGCCUCGGUAGGGUUUUCCUCCUGGUUAGGACAUGAUCCAACUGCUUUCAAGGCUUUCAAAGUAUACCGAAAUAAUCUGACUAAACUCCGGAGAUAAUAUAAACACUACUAUUAUUUUACUUUGUUUGAUGGCGCGGUAAACGAGAAAAAGAUGUGGAACAAACUAAAUGCUAUAACAUCUGCAAGGCGACUGGAGAACAACAUUGAUGAGCUUACGAUAUGUAAUAAAGUGUACAUAGGAAUUGAAUUGGCUAACAAAUUCAAUUAGCAUUUUACUACUCUAGAAAAUAGUACAUAUGAUGCCGAAGCUCUAAACUAUCUGGCCCUUUCCACACAGUAUUCCCUAUUUGCCACACCAACAAGUGAACAUAAGUUUGCUGCUUUGUGCCAAGGAGCUGGUGGGGCUAGUCAAGCUGCAAGUAUGCAGCUUUUACCCUGCCACCAUAAAUGGUCUGACCACGUCUCCUGCGCCACGUCGCCAGACGCGAGGAAAACUACUCCCUGGACUUUGAUCCCUGAUACCCACUCAACUUCUUCGUUAAGGGCGGAUGUAAAGUUGCCAAAGGCCAUCGCCUUGCUUUUGUCUUUAUUCAGAAGGGCUCCGGAUAAUUCAGAGUAAUAUUAAAGAACCGUAAGAAGGCAUAGUAGCUUUCUUCGUUUCUUAAAAAGAGGGACACGUCGUCUGCA